GCCAUCCCAAAUAUUUACAGUUGCAAUGAAAACUGGAAUACAGGAAUGGCUUUUACUACUUCUUUAGGAGACAAAGUCAAUUUCAAAGUAUUUCCCCUCUUGUCCCAAAAUGUUUCCCUUUAAAAAAAAUUGAAAUACAGGUCCUGACUUGUCUUUCUCCCGGAGGACACUGGCAAGGUUUAAAAAGGUUGCCAAAUUUAAGUGUGGCUUUUGGAGAUGACAAACUCUACGGUCCAAGAGAACUGCUCCCCACCAGAUCUCUGAGGCUGACAGUGAGUAAGCUGGGGCAAUUGCCUGUCAGAAGAGCAGGAGUCCAGAAAAGAACCCCACGCCCUCUAGUGCUGACCUAGAUGGGGAACUGGAGGCAGAAAGUGCUUUGCCCAUGGUCUUGCACUGUGUCGGUGGAACAGAAUCCAGAAACCCUGAAGUCCCCUGGGCUCUCAGCACUGCAGGACACUCCAUUACCAACACACCAAUAGCUAUUCUGGUCUGGAUUUCAGGAAAAGUCAGGCAGUUAUGUUUACUUAUUCCACUUCCAAAAAACCUGAAAAUAUUCUAUUCAGAUUUCCUCAUGGUUAGGACUUUUGGUUUCGUGACUCAAGGACACACCAUGAAGGCCAAUCUAGAAACACUUUAUGUUGUACAAACAAGUUUUCUAAGCUUUGAGAUGAAUGAAAACAUUUCCAUGAUUAAAAAAAAUCUAAUUGAAAUCCA